rnacentral:lncRNA from 1 species
CAAAUAAGUUACCUUUCUCUCUUGUUAUGUUUCUAAGAAAGAGGCUCAAAUUCACUGCUCACAACAACCCUAACAAAGAAAACAGCACAGCAAACACAACAAGUAUGGUCCAUAAUAUACUAUACACUUUAUUUUUAUAUAUACUGUAUACUAUAUGUUUAUAUACUUGUGGCCUAUGUGUAAAGAGAACCCACAAAACCAAACAAGCAACACAAAGAUUCUUCCUUUCAGCAAAGACCAAAUACAAUAUUAAGUUGGAUUUUUUACUAGUAGCUAGCUUUUUCAUUAACUGGCAUUUGUAUUUACAUAACCUCUCACUCACUACAUGUUAACUCCUACGUGUACAAUCCCCAACCCCCUCCACCCCUAAGGGUUUUAAAGGCCGGCGAAGAAGGGAAAUGGAGACAAGAAAACAUGGUUAAUGAUGAGAGAGAAGGGGAAUAUGAUGGUUGGGUUUUUGGUUCGAGCUUUUUGUCGAACAGGUAGAGUGCGAAUUGGUUUUUAAUCGAGAAAACAGCAUGGAUCCAAUGAGAAUGUGGCUUUGGGUUCUGUGAUGGCUCUUUUUUGUGGUCCGCUUAAUUGGGUGACACGUGAAAAUGGCGUUACUACAAUCAUUUAUUUUUCAAAUGCGUUUCGUGCCUUUAUUUACUUGAUGCUUUGCUUUGUGUACAAGAGAGAGAAAAGAGAAUUUUUCAAAUGCGUUUCGUGCCUUUUAUUGCUUGGUGCUUUGCUUUGUGUACAAGAUAGAGAAUAG